UUCAGAAAUAAUAUCACAUUAUAAAUUUGAUGCGUUCAAAUCCCUUUUCUGGAUUUACCUUCAUCAGGAACACUUUUAGCAAGGAUGCUAUUAAUUAUAAAUCAAUGUUGCCAACAGGGAAAAAAACAGGAAAACAGAGAACUAACCAAUAAAACGCUACAAGAGGGAAUUAGCAAACAUAUUCUAUUAACAAGAAUGUGUCCAAAGUACACGAAUGCCCCACUUGGACUAUCAUUUUCUAUGUUCAGUGAACCGUGAAAUUGGGUCAAAACUCUAAUUGAGCAUUAAAAUUAGAAAGAUCAUAUCAUAGGUAAUGUGUACUAAGUUUCAAGUUGAUUGGACUUUAACCUGAAGCAGGAUAGAGGGACGAACAAACAGACGAAUGAACAAACAGAUGAACAAAUGGACGAACGAAGGAACAAACUGACGCAGACUGAAAAACAUAAUGUCCCUCUACUAUCGUAUGUAGGGCAUAAAAACAAGAAGUCAUUUAUUGCAGAAGAGAAAGCAGCUCCAUUGUAAUAUAUCACAUGUAUAUGUACUGUUUUCUUUUUUAACAAAGCAAAUAAAGAAUUGAUUCAGAAUAGUUAAGAUAUGAUUUGCUUACUGUUGAUAUAGAUGUAUUAAGAUUUGCUUACAAUCCAGGAAAAAAAAUGAUUUUGAACUAUGUAUCUGAGUAUUUCUUCUCUCACUGCAAAAUGUAACAUGAUCCAAUUAUAUUUUAGUACCAUUAGCUUCAAAUUUACUUAACAAUAAUGAACAGCAUACCCUGUUAUACAAAAUAACUAUAAAUUGUUGGCUACAGUAUACCGUUUUAUAAAUUCAAUUUGACUAGAUAUAACAUACUAAGUCAUUCAAUUAAAAAUAAGAGGGGGAGGGAACAGUAAAAAAAAAGAAAAUUGAAAAUAAUGUUUAUCCCUGUGAAUAUGCCAUGCAUGACACUUUUUUUGUUUAUCUAUAUAUGCUGUUAAUAUUUUCGAACAAAUGUUUUUAUUCUUUAAAGUAAAGGUAAAACUCCAUAUGGAGAUGCUCAUAAUUAAAGAAGGCUUAUACUCAGAAAAAGACAACAAUGUGUAUAGUUAAUUGUAAAUAUCUAGUCUCUUUUAGCUGAGGUACCGUAAGCAUUAUAAUUAUAACAUCAUAUUAUCCAACAGUGUGAAUCAUUAUUCCAUGUCACAUGUUUCUAAUAUAAAAACAAUAACAGACCUGGUCUUACUACAUGUAAAUAAAUGAAUCAAAAACAUAACACAAAAUGUGGCUUGGAAGGUAUCCAAUAUUUAACAUGAGAGCAAACAAGAAUAACAUGGACAAAAACAAAGACUGUGUUAACUGUCCAUCAUUGAUGGAUAAGUCACAGUGUGUGAAUAAUAUGAUGUCAUAAUAAAACAAUGUAGCCUUUCCAAAACAUAUUUUAUCGAUUAUUGAAAGUACAUUGACUUCUGACUGUGUCCUUGGUCCAUACACUUUCAUUGGGACACCUAAAACAUGCAUUGACCUCAUCAAAAGGCUAUAAUGGUAUAGAAUCAAACACAAAUAUACAAAAGCAUUAUAAAAAGAGUCAUAAAUUAAACAGGCACCAUUAUCACAGCAUAUUUGUUAACAAAAUCAUCAUUGACUCUCAUUAAACCAGAAUUUAGGUUACUGGAAAGAUUUUACACCAUUAUUUUUUUUGUCAGUUUCAAAAUUAAAGGAUAUUUCAGAAGAUCAGGUAAAUGUUUUUUGAUAAAAGUGAAAUAAAACCUGAAAAAACAAGAAUGUGUCCAAAGUACACGGAUGCCCCACUCACACUAUCAUUUUCCAUGUUCAAUGGACCAUGAAAUUGGAUAAAAAAUAUAAUUAGGCAUUAAAAUUAGAAAGAUAAUAUCAUAGGGAACAUGUGUACUAAGUAUCAAGUUGAUUGGACUUCAACUUCAUCAAAAACUACCUUGACCAAAAACUUUAACCUGAAACAUGCACUUUCAUUUUCUAUGUUCAGUGGACCCUGAAAUUGGGGUCAAAAGUUUAAUUUGGCUUUAAAAUUAGAAAGAUCAUAUCAUAAGGAACAUGUGACUAAGUUUCAAGUUGAUUGGACUUCAACUUCAUCAAAAACUACCUUGACU
rnacentral:lncRNA from 1 species